rnacentral:lncRNA from 1 species
CCCCUACUAUUAGGUACAUAUACAGGAUGACUUUUGCAAUAACCACCCUCAGAUAUCAAUAAUUAUGCCUGUCAUAAAUAAGACAUUGUACAAAACUGUACAGGUAUCCGUCUCUUAGGUUUUAAAAAAAUUGCACAUAUGUACGGCAUGAAACUUCUUGUAGAUUUGAUUUAAUUAGUAGCUUCUGCUACAUCAGUAAAUAUGCAAGAAAUCCAGACAUAUUGGUGAGUAGAAAGUACAUGACAAAUUUAACCACCCACUUCAAGCAUACCUAAGCAUACAUUUCAAACCUGACGAUCCCAUAUAAGACACAAACAGAAGAGAUACAUACAUAUCAAAUGCUACAUAGCAUGAGAGGAUUACUUUUGUUACAACACGGGCAAGACUAAGUAGACUAAAAUAAUCACAACCCAACAAGCACGGCCAUUAAAAGCUGCAUUACUAUCUUGGUGGUACAUCACAUAAAAGCUACAGCCUUUGCAUCUUGUGCUUCAUGCUCACCGAAUGCUUCUUGCUCAUUGAGCUUCUUGUGCUGCUAAUCCCAGUUUGUAUCUGCUAAUGAACUGCAUUGCUAUCUUCAUGGUACACAACACAAACACAGCAUGACAAAUCAGAGGGAGGAAAUGAACUAAUCUCAGUGUAUCUGCUAAGAAAAUAAACAAUGCGCCUAAAGCCUUCAUGGCAACAUUAUCGAUUAGAGAAUAAACUUACAUCGUCCGAUAGUAUGGCAUGAAUGAAAUCAGAAAUUAGGGUACCUUCCACAUUAGAAACAAGGGCACGAGCCAUAUUACUUUCCCUAGGAGAAAGAACAAACGAAAUAGAAGUAAAGCUACAAGAUAUAUGCGCCUUUUCUUUUUAAUUGCACUUCAGUACAGAGAAAAUCUAUCUUGGCAUCCAGCACUGUCAUUAUUUAAAUUGGUUAAAAACUGAUGGUAUGACUUGCAUUUAUCACCUAAAGAAAUUGCAAUUACAGAUGCUUACUAGCAAGUCCUGAAAUGGUGCGCAUUGCAGUAUUCCAGCAUUGAAAUUUCUUUAUUGUCUUACUAAAGUCUUGAUUUUAAUUUCUACAGAGGAACUGGAACACUUUCUAGCUAGAAUUGUUCAACGUAUAUGGAAGGUUGUUCUUCUGGUACGUCCAGCAAGUUAUACAACAAGCUUUGCAUCAAUGAUUACUGCCAGCAAAUUUCACCCAUCAGUGCCUGGUGUUCAUGAACUCCAGAAGAAUGGACAAUAUGUAGGGUUCCACCAAGGUUUCUAUGAAAAGGGUCUACUGCUGGAGAUUGGUUUUGCACUUUUGAUACAUAAAAAAUCAGGGCCUAUGCUACAUCUGCCGAUUUCUAUAGUACUUUUUCUAAUGGAAGCAUUGCUGUGAUUGUACAUGAUGUUCCAUACAUCUAACUUUUUCUCGCGAAGUACAACAAAGGUUACAGUGGUGUCGCUGUCGCCUAUUUACAGGAGCGCAUACUUUGCAUUUGUGAGUUUAAGUACACUGACUAUUCUCUUGAAAAGUUUGCUACCGAAGCAUGCAAAUGUUAAGCUUAUGUGUUCCUCUUGAUUCUAGCCAUAUCACCACAAGAUUGCAUUUAUAAAAAAUCAAAUUUAGAGACGGAAGGGUGUGCCUAGAACUGGAAAAUUUUAAUACAAUCCAUCUAUUAUAUGAACUGGUAAAAUCUAUCUUCAUCUUCACAAUAAAAAUGAGCUUACUGUCCCAUCAAGUUUUCAACCAAUGGCUGCAUAUUGCGACAACAAACUUAGCAACCGCAGGUAGUAAUUAUAUUUUUUAUUGAGUUGUCCUAAAAUCGAGGAUUUAUCUACCCAUCUGCAACCUUCCAACUUGGUUAUCUAAGUAAUUACCGGUGAAACAGAACUUUCAAAAUAGACUACCAAACCACUAAGAACAGUAGCAAUACAUCAUCAAAUUGAAGUUAUAAAAUGGCAUCUUCCCAUAUGAGCAGUGACAUGGAAAAGUACAGGAAAACAGAACUGGAGAUGGCAUCACCUGCUUGCAGCCGACGAGGUGAAGGAGGAAGCGACGAACCCACCGCUCCUGGAACCUCGGAUGGGGAGGCAGUGACCAGUGACGAGCACAAAGUAGGGCCGAGCUUAGUAGCCGGCGAGCUCAGAUCUGCUCUGCAUAACCGGGUGGGCGGCGACACAACGGCCAGGAGUCAUCCGAUCUGCUCCUCUCCGAUCUGAUCAGCUCUGAGGUGCUUCCCCACUGGAACACGCCUCCAUUGGUCGUACUCACCCAGCUCUUGGUUGAGGGAUCUGGGCCGCCGCCGCCGCAGGAGGAGGAGGAAUUUUAGAUCGUGCGUGUGUCGGUGCAUCGGGGAAUCGGGUUUGGGUCUGAAUGAUUAGGACGACGGGAGCAAAUUAACUCUCAGGCAGGGACCUAUUUGCAAACUUGUAGUCAGAGAUUGCUCCACCCGAAUCUGAGCCAUCAAUAUGCCAUCCAAUGGUCCAAACUCAUUUUUUCUAUUCU